UAAACAUGGUUAGGGCAUAGAUUCAAAAUCUUAGAAUGUCUCCCCCAAGCUUCAUGUAAACUUUCAUCAUCCUCUUGAAUGAAUAGAGUGAUAUUCCUUCGUAAUUUA
rfam:Triticum aestivum genome assembly, contig: Triticum_aestivum_CS42_TGACv1_scaffold_499730_6BL